rnacentral:rRNA from 1 species
AACGCUGGCGGUAUGCCUAAUACAUGCAAGUCGAACGCUGAAACACUCUGCUUGCAGAGUGUGGAUGAGUGGCGAACGGGUGAGUAACACGUGGGGAACCUGCCCAUAAGAGGGGGAUAACAUCCGGAAACGGGUGCUAAUACCGCAUAGGUGAUCAUAGCGCAUGCUUAGAUCAUUAAAGAUGGCUUCGGCUGUCGCUUAUGGAUGGCCCCGCGGCGUAUUAGCUAGUUGGUGAGGUAAUGGCUCACCAAGGCUGUGAUACGUAGCCGACCUGAGAGGGUGAUCGGCCACACUGGAACUGAGACACGGUCCAGACUCCUACGGGAGGCAGCAGUAGGGAAUCUUCCACAAUGGGCGAAAGCCUGAUGGAGCAAUACCGCGUGAGUGAAGAAGGUCUUCGGAUCGUAAAGCUCUGUUGUUAGAGAAGAACAAGAGGCGUAGUAACUGGCACCUCCUUGACGGUAUCUAACCAGAAAGUCACGGCUAACUACGUGCCAGCAGCCGCGGUAAUACGUAGGUGACAAGCGUUGUCCGGAUUUAUUGGGCGUAAAGCGAGCGCAGGCGGUCUUUUAAGUCUGAUGUGAAAGCCCACGGCUCAACCGUGGAGGGUCAUUGGAAACUGGAAGACUUGAAUGCAGAAGAGGAAAGUGGAAUUCCAUGUGUAGCGGUGAAAUGCGUAAAUAUAUGGAGGAACACCAGUGGCGAAGGCGACUUUCUGGUCUGUAAUUGAC